ACGUGUCAUUGUAAACUUAAAAUAUAUAUAUAUCACAGCUAUAAAUCAGAAAUUCAUGUUGAGAAUGUAUGCUUACGAUUUGUAUAAACAAUAUACGGCAGCUGCGAAACGAAAACUUUGAAAGAUUUUACAACACUAAUUAUUUUCUCCUUUUUUUUUUUUUUUAAAAAAAGGUAUUUCAGCUCACAUUCAGGAUUUCAAGACAAAUGACGUUGGAAAAAUACAAAAGAAUUUAUCUGGCAAUCCAAUAUAAUGAUUCAGAUGCAUACAUUUGCGGUAACAUUGUUCCUCCUUGUCCUUCCCAAAAUCGUUAUGAAAACUGUACUCGAUUGUAGCGACUGUUUCUAUGAAGCAAAAUGCUUUUGUAGCGGGCAACAUACGCGCGUACAACAAUCAAUGGACGCAUGUGACGAAAUAUCAUGUCUCAACGAUGACAUGAAAACGAUGAGAAGCUGUAAGUAAAAAUCAGUAAUUAAUAUAUAUAUAUAUAUAUAUACUUUCUUCACAUUUUUCAUAUCAGACGAGUUAGCUAUUGGUUAUGUUCUUAUGCGUGAAUACUUAAAUAGUUAAUGAAGAAUGUGACUUAUGCUACCAGCUUUUAGGUUCGUUCUUGUAGCGUGUUCUAAUUUUAUGAACGAAAAUAUAUUGAUCUUGCUUUGUAAUCAUUCCUAGCACACAGGGAAUUAAUUAUGGAUGUAAGUGGAUUAAAUUACGAUGAGGAUAACAGAUGUACAGAAAAACGACAAAGACAGCUAAGGGAACAACAAGCAUGUAUAUUAGUUUGACGUUCGGGAAGAAUAGAAAAGCAUUUGACGUUUCGAGCAUUCGCGCUUUGACAGAAAGUGAGAGGAAAAAAUCGAGAGAGAGAAAAUGUAUUGGUAUUAUCGGUGUAACGACGAAAAAAGAUAUAUAUAUAUAUAUAUAUGUC